rnacentral:rRNA from 1 species
UCCAGACUCCUACGGGAGGCAGCAGUGGGGAAUAUUGGGCAAUGGGCGCAAGCCUAACCCAGCAAUGCCGCGUGAAGGAAGAAGGCUUUCGGGUUGUAAACUUCUUUGACAGGGGAAGAGCAGAAGACGGUACCCUGAAAACAAGCCACGGCUAACUACGUGCCAGCAGCCGCGGUAAUACGGAGGAUGCGAGCGUUAUCCGGAUUUAUUGGGUUUAAAGGGUGCGUAGGCGGACAGUCAAGUCAGCGGUAAAAAUGCGGUGCUCAACGCCGUACAGCCGUUGAAACUGGCAGUCUUGGGUGGGCGAGAAGUAUGCGGAAUGCGUGGUGUAGCGGUGAAAUGCAUAGAUAUCACGCAGAACUCCGAUUGCGAAGGCAGCAUACCGGCGCCCGACUGACGCUGAGGCACGAAAGCGUGGGUAUCGAACAGGAUUAGAUACCCCAGUAC